AAUCCUUUUUACUUCCAAUUAUGCAAAAUGAAAAAUAAAUAUGCAUAUUUAUUCAUAAUAUAUCUGAAUUUACCAAUAAAAAAAUGAAUAUGAAAUGGUGGUGGAGAUGUCCAUUUUUGUAAUGCCUAGCUUCCUUGAAAGUGUCAUUAACAAAGUUUUUGAGAUCUCCACCUAAGAUUCAGUGCUAUCAAAGUGGAUAGAUACCUGGUAAUUUCUCAUGAUAGAUGAGCAUGAAUUCUGACAAGGCCAAUUCGUUACUGUUAAACAAUUCACCAUUGGUAAAGUGGUUAGUCUCUAAAAAGCAUCUGACAACCUAAAUCUUCAAUGCCUUUAUUCACAAAAUCUUCUUUUAAUGGCAUCUCUCAUCUUGAUGUUGAGGCAAAGAAGACAACAUCGGGAGUUGAUUGAUUUGUUCCCCUCUGAGAACAAGAAUUAGAUCAUAAGUUUUAUCACAGCUAUAGAAGGGUAUUCAAAUUACUGGUAGAAAAUUAGAUUACUUCCCAAUUCAAUCCUGUUAUUGGAAUUUCAAAUUCCUGCAUAUGUUUCAAACUCAUCAUGUUUAUUUUAUGAUUCUCAAUGGCUCAUCUAGGCUGUAUUUAUGAUGUGUGCAGUUAUUGCUAUUGAUCCUUGUCAGAGGUAUAAAUCCAUACUGUUUUUGUGGUUUCCAUUAUCAGUUAAUCAUGGUUAGUUUCUUAUUAUCUGCAGCCUUUUUGUUUGUUUGUUUUGUCUUUUUCAGGGAAUUGGUCAAUGCAGUACUUCAUAAUCUAUCCAGGCAGCUUAAGUACGCAUCUAUGCUGAAGGUUGCUUGUCACUGUUGGCUGUUCUGGUCAAAAAUCACUUUGUGCCAAUCUUUGCUAUCUGUAUGGCAUUGAAUUGCAGUAAGGAAUCUGGGUGGGAAAAGGCAGCAAUUGUUCUUCAGGGUUCAAUUUUGCGUCUUGCUGAGAUAUCUAGGAGUGAACAAGACAAACUCAUAAAGAAACAUAUGGUUUGCUCCUGCUUUUCUUCUCUCUCUCUCUCUCUCUCUCUCUCUCUCUCUCUCUCUCUAAAUGAUUCAGGAAGUUUAAGAUCUAUGACAAGCAUAAAAAUAUUAGUGUAAUUUAAAAGAUAUCACAUAAUCUCAUGGCUCUUCAAACUGUCUAAUCAUUUUCUUUUUUUGGAUAGGUAAUGGUAAAUUUUAUUUAAAAAUUUAAGUCACCAAUACGUCAGAUUUUGGUUUGAUGAGUAUGCUGGGUUUCUUCCUCCUAAAAACCAAAGAUCUCUCAAAAAUGUAAAGAGGAUAUGAAAUCUACAAAACCAGUUGGUCACCCUGUAUCAAGUAAAAGCCAAGAAAACAAUGAGCUUACCAACGUCAACUUAAUUCUCAUAGUUGAAAAUUGCUGCUCCCUAAAAAUCCUUUGAGUACUCUCCCUCCGCAAAGUCCACAUCAAACAUGGAUGUACUAAAUCCCAGGCUCUGUGUUGGAAGGAGUUUGGCUUCCUUCUCCAAUCUUGAAUCAACAAAAGCACAGUCUUGGGCAUCACCCACCAAACUCUGAACAUCCCAAGGAUGAACUCACACAACUCCCUUGCAAAAGAAUAGUGAAGUAGGAAAUG